rnacentral:rRNA from 1 species
UUCCGGUUGAUCCUGCCGGAGGCUACUGCUAUCGGGGUUCGAUUAAGCCAUGCGAGUUAAAUGUUCUUCGUGAACAUAGCGAACUGCUCAGUAACACGUGGAUAACCUACCCUUAGGACCGGAAUAACCCCGGGAAACUGGGGAUAAUACCGGAUAAGCCAUAGACGCUGGAAUGCCCUAUGGUUCAAAGCUCCGGCGCCUAAGGAUGGAUCUGCGGUCUAUCAGGUUGUAGUGGGUGUAACGUACCUACUAGCCGACGACGGAUACGGGUUGUGAGAGCAAGAGCCCGGAGAUGGAUUCUGAGACACGAAUCCAGGCCCUACGGGGUGCAGCAGGCGCGAACACUUUACAAUGCGGGAAACCGCGAUAAGGGAACCCCGAGUGCCAGCAUCAAAUGUUGGCUGUCCAGAUGGUUAAAAAUCAUUUGUUAGCAAGGGCCGGGCAAGACCGGUGCCAGCCGCCGCGGUAACACCGGCGGCCCGAGUGGUAGCCGUUUUUAUUGGGUCUAAAGGGUCCGUAGCCGGCCUGAUAAGUCCUUUGGGAAAUCUGACAGCUUAACUGUCAGGCUUCUAAGGGAUACUGUCAGGCUUGGGACCGGAAGAGGUAAGGGGUACUCCAGGGGUAGGAGUGAAAUCUUGUAAUCCCUGGGGGACCAUCUGUGGCGAAGGCGCCUUACCAGAACGGGUCCGACGGUGAGGGACGAAAGCUAGGGGAGCAAACCGGAUUAGAUACCCGGGUAGUCCUAGCUGUAAACGAUGCUCGCUAGGUGUCAGACACGGUGCGACCGUGUUUGGUGCCGCAGGGAAGCCGUUAAGCGAGCCACCUGGGAAGUACGGUCGCAAGGCUGAAACUUAAAGGAAUUGGCGGGGGAGCACUACAACGGGUGGAGCCUGCGGUUUAAUUGGAUUCAACGCCGGG